CUCGUGCAGCAAUGACAGCCAGCAAAGCAUGGGGUGAGUCGCAGGUGGUCCUGGGAGGUGCCACACUCUGACUGAUGCUUCAUCUGAUAUUUAAUCAGCUAUAAGGAAAUCAUGGAUGCUUUCCUGACUCUGACACCUGUAUCUUGUUACUUAUCAGACUGCUGCCGCUGGCUUUAGAGGUAGCUACAAGAAAGCCAGUGCCUGCUUAGAAUUAAAAUGAUUCUUGGGGAGCCUCAAGUGCAGCUGAAGAACCUCUUGCUUCUCUCUGUUUGGGAGAUAUAUGAGAGUCAGGAGGCAUUAGGCCAACUCUCUGCAUUUUAUUUACAUUUUUACAAUUAAACAGGCAGUUGAUAAGAUUGACAGGAAAGAUAUGAUUUAGGAGCUUGUUAGACAGAAACCUCUAAACUCUUUGGGUGAUUUAAGAGCGGUAGGAUAUGAAGAAUGUUUUCCAGCGUGGGAUUAGUGUAAUCAAUACGAACAUGCCUGCUGACAUAAAAGUCACUUYUUAAAAAGCAAUUUAUCACGCAUUUAAAUGCAGGAGCUGCAGUGUUUGACAAAUCCUCAGCCGAACGAAGGAGAAUAUUCCUGUCUGACUUCUUUGCUCUUGCUGGAGCAGGACAAGAAAUCAAUCAUAGUUAAGAAAAGYGCUUUUCUUAGUGAUCACCUACAAUUUAGGGGGAAGCAGUAGAAAAAGUAUCCAGGGGCAUUAAUUACAAUUUAASCUGCACUGCCUUCUUCCCCUGCGUGUGAGGUCUGGGGACUGUGCAGUAUCAUUUGUGGGAUGUAUAUUGUAAAAACACUUUUUUUUUUUCCUCCCCAGGCUUAGCGUUGGAGAGUCAGCUCCCUCUAUGGUCGGAAGAUGGAGGGACACCUUCCUCCCUUCGGGGGAUCUUUCAKUUUUCGCUGUGCUCUGGAAGAACUGGGUGUUUCUGUCUAGCAGAAGCUCUGAAGAAAUUGGUGGGAAGCAAAUUGCAACACWGAAGAAAGAGCAGUUUGACAUUGCGAAUAUUACAGCCACUGUGAGCCCAGGACCACAAGGUAAUUGUUGCAGCAAUCCAAAUCCACUUGGAAAAGUGCCUCUGAUGGGAGCACUGCCUCUGCCUAGGCCUUGGCAAGUGUGAUUUUUUUYUUUUUUCUUUUAAUUCAAACAGCUGCUCUUGGGAAGCAGCUAGAGGCUGUCUCAGUUGUGGUUUAAUCGUCUGGUAACAGGCUGCAUUGCUUUCUAGCCUGGGUGAAACUUAUUCCACUGGCAGCAGAAAGGAGCUUGCUACAUUUAUGGCUUAAUCCAAGUUUUUAAUAUUCAUUGGGCAAAUUCAGUCCAGCGGUAAAAGUAUUGCCAUUGCAUUGGGAAUUAGUGCCCUGUGGAUUUUACGGGUUUUGUUUACUUUUAAGGUUUAUUUUGCAACUCCUGCGAAUGUCACUUGAUGUCGUAACCCCCCCAGUGUUUGCGGCACUGUUAAUGAGCUGCUCAGCUGGCUGACCGGAGCCAGCGUGCAGCAGGAUGUGGUAAUUCUGGGAUUGCUCCAGGCUGGGCUGGAUCCCAGCGCUCUGGAUGGCGAAACGCUGCUGAAGUGCUUGUGCAAGCACUAACCGUGGAGAGACAGCUGCAGGUGGGAGAAACUUGCCCAAAUCUUUCUGCUCUGACACUUUGGCACAUUUCUUGCACACAGCASUUAGCUCAGCGAGCGAUAUGGCGAUUUCCAAGGUGUUUAUCRAAUCAAGGGACAUAGGUUAUCUAACCCAGACGCUGGAGCUGGUGCAGCUGUUGGGGAAAGUCCAGGGUCAAAACCUCGGCUCUGCAAGCUGCCGGGUGCCCGUGACCUGCUCCACGCCGAGCACUGGGGACCAACAGCCACAGGAGGGGUUUGCUGGGCGUGUUGCCAGGUGACUUUGUGGCCCUUACUUGGGGCUUUUAGGAACUGAAAUUGAAUCUAACCUAACUAGGAGCUUUUCAGUUCGUAUCCUCUGUCUCUYGAAUAACAACUGGGGGGUGCAGAAUCUUCUUGCUAAGAAGCACCGAAGAAAGUACAGGUGGGGAGGAGACGAUUACUGUGUGUGUAUAUAUAUACUUGUAUCUAYACACACACAUCCCUCUCCCCACUGGAUACUUGAAAAGUGCUGGUGGUAGAAAUGGUCUCUAACGCUCUAUUCUGAAUGCCAGGCAGUACGUGCUCUGCAGCAAUGUGACCCUAAUUGCCACCAGGCCAUAACGAAUGAGCUGUUGAGAUUGUGCCUCAUGGUAAAGGACUGCAGAUGUGUUUUUCUCCACUGCUGCCUUGAAUGGGUGCGAAUAAUAAAGUAGGCAUACGAAGAAAAAAAUCUGCCUUG
rnacentral:lncRNA from 1 species